CACGUAGGGCGCGAGCGUUGUCCGGAAUUAUUGGGCGUAAAGAGCUCGUAGGCGGCCUGUUGCGUCCGCUGUGAAAGCCCGGGGCUCAACCCCGGGUCGGCCGUGCGGACUGGCGUGCUCGAGCACUGUAGGGGCGGGUGGAAUUCCGGGUGUAGCGGUGGAAUGCGUAGAGAUCCGGAAGAACACCGGUGGCGAAGGCGGCCCGCUGGGCAGGAAGGCUCGCAAGAGCCGGUUGACGCUGAGGCGCGACAGCGUGGGGAGCAAACAGG
rnacentral:rRNA from 1 species